UACGUAGGGGGCAAGCGUUGUCCGGAUUUAUUGGGCGUAAAGAGCUCGUAGGCGGUUCCGUAAGUCGUGAAGUCAAAUCUCUGGGCUCAACCCAGAAUCGCUUCCGAUACUGCGGUGACUGGAGUCCGGUAGGGGAGUGUGGAAUUCCUGGUGUAGCGGUGAAAUGCGCAGAUAUCAGGAGGAACACCGGUGGCGAAGGCGGGUCUCUGGGCAGUAACUGACGCUGAGGAGCGAAAGCGUGGGGAGCGAACAGG
rnacentral:rRNA from 1 species